GUUGGGCUCUUGAUGCACAACCCAAACUGUUCAAUACUUUUCCUCCCAUUGCUAGGAUCCAGAGAUGCCACUUUGUAUUGGCUUGUUUUCUGUUACUAUAACAUAAUGCACAAAGUUGAAUAACUUCUGUAGAAAUGAGGGUUAUUUAACUAAACUCCUGGAGACUCAAGAGUAUGGUGGUAGCUUCUGCUUGGUUCUGAUGAGGACUCAAUGGAGGACAGUGAUGGGGAAUGUACUUCUUUAUAUGUUUAUCUUAUUGAUGAAUAAAAUACUGUUUGGCCAAUGGCAAGCAAGGACUAGGAGUCAAAGAGGAUUCUGGGAAAUGUAGUAGAGAAGUGAUGAUCCAGGCAGGAAGUGACAUGGCAAGAGGACUCAUAUCUAAGCGAGGAAACAGGAAGUGUGUCCUUUUUCCCCUCCGCUCCUGCUCCAGCGGCAUGAUGUGAUCCACCAGCAAGGAGGGAUGCCAAUAAGGCGUCUGAUAAGGGCGGGGCUCCUGAUGACCUCAUCAUCUUGCUUCAGGCUCUACCUCCAAAUGCCAUCACCUCAGCUCUGCUGCCCUGGGCCAGACUCCCAGCACAUGGUCUUCUGGGGACAUGUUUAGUUCAUUUCUGCUGCUCGGCUAUGUGUUCAGAGACACAGAGGAUCUGCCAAGAGAGACGAGAACAAUGUGGAAAUUCAGGGAAAGGCUAGCGGGAGGCAGCCAGGGCCAGAGAGAUGGAGGAACAUCUGGCCACUCGGUGACUUGUAUUUAAGAUCCUGGCCCUUCGGCUGGUGAUUUGAUUUAGCAGUUAAGUAAGGUUCCUGCCACCAGGCUUGAUGACAUGCUUGACCCCAGGACUCCACACAGUGGACAGAGAAGACUGACCCCUUCCCGUUGUCCACUGACUUCCACAUCUACAACAGUAUGUGUGCACACACAAACACAUUCCCCUUUAGGCCUGGCUGUCCCCUGUUCUUGGUUUCCAUGUGACACCUCUGAAGACUUGUUAUGAAGUUCUGUUUCUGUGUAACCAAGCAUGUUUGUGAGCAUUCUCCCCAUUGAUAGCAACACCAUAGCCAUGGCCAGGACCUCCACAGCUCUUCAAGUCCAAAGAUUUGGUUCUGAGAGUGGCCUGGGCAAAUAUCUGGUCAUCCCGAUAACCUAAGUUACAAACAAGUAUUGUCCUCCCUUUUCAAACCAAAAUGAUGCUCUGUGGUUAAGUGGCUUGUCCCUGUCCAACAGCUAAUACAUGGUGGGGCUGAGGUUCUAUUUUACUGAGCAAGAGUAUAUACGUACGUGUGUGUGUGUGUGUGUGUGUGUGUGUGUGUGUGUGUGUGAGAGAGAGAGAGAGAGAGAGAGAGAGAGAGAGAGAGAGAGAGAGUUCAAUUUUAAAUGCCAAAGCCCUAGUCAGUCCUUUUGUAUAGGCUCAAAAUCCCUGCCAGAGUUGUGGGCUGGGUGAGCUGGGAGCCCGCCUACUUUGUCUUCCCCACAACACCCUGCCUCUCACUUUGCCGGGCCUGGCAGAAGAAGCGCGGGAAAUUGCUGCAGAGCCAGGUACAGGGCUUGGCGGCAAAGCCGCUUGUGGGGCGGGAGGCCAGAGCCGCACCCUGGCACCUGGCAGGCAGCCUAGCUCCACCGUUGAGAAAAGACUUGGUACAAAGGAGGCCUCCCGCCAAGCCAGCCGCCUUCUUCAGCCUUACCGAUCCUCAGCUGAGGAACCUGACCUCAGGGCCAGAUUAGGUCAGGUCCUUACAUGGCCUCAGGACGAUGUCGAGGGGCCUUGAGGUAAUGCCCAGUCUGGGACACUUUCUUGGCUGCCCGAGGUAGGCAUUUAGGGGAAGAAGCAAUUGUCACCCCGCACUACAUAGGACUCUGGGGCUUCUGAGCUUUCCAUUACUGUCCCUCCUCCAGGGCAUCCAGGUCACCUGGUUUCACAGUGUUGGGGCAGAUUGUCUACCUUGUGGCGAUAGUUUGUCCGAAGUGCAGACUAGAUAGAUCUGGGUCUAUGGUGAAGAAGAAAAUACUCUCAGAGGAAUUCGGGUUCAACCAAAGUGGGCAUUUGGGAAAGGAACCCUGAUUGUAGAGUGGGGAUGGGCCCUGAGGAUGGGUUGGUUGCCAUAGCUGUGACCCAGCACCCAGAGGUCCAUGAAGGGAACACCAGGCCUCUUGGGUCUAACCGGAUCCUGCCUCCCCCUGAGCAAGCACUCAGGGCCUGUGUCUAGACAAGAGGCCAUCUCAAUGGGGCUCUUUCAUUCAGACAGGGCUGGUCCCAGUGCAGGCCAGCAUCAAGUCUCAAUCCAGCCCAGUGCAGAGGGGCUGCCCAGGCCUGCAGGGACUCGGGAGGAGCAACUGUUCUCUCUAGGAGGUGCAGCCCACUCCAGGGCCCUCCACUGUACCCAGGAGGGCAAGCGAGGGGCAGGGCUGAACCUUGUUGCAGAUUGAGCUCGCAGUCUUUGAUACAUGGCCAGUAUCUGUACAGAUCAUCCUAAAGUAGGAGUUUAGGCUCCUGUCCCCUGACUAGGAUAUCCCCAAAGCCAGACAAAAGGAGUGCCAGAAGUGACCCCUGCUCUUACUAGCCCACACCGACUCAGACAGCAAAGGGAGAUUCAGGAGUGCUAAGCCACCUCUACUACCACUGGCACGAGCCUUCUUCUCAACAGACCCCGAUAAUCCCAAAGUAGCCCCGGACUGAGGGGUGCCCCCAAGGCUAUCCCCAAGGCAGGAUGCCCUCUGGGGGAUGCCCUGACUGGUGCUGUAUAAUUCUGGAUAGGCAGGGGUGGCACAAGCCACAUUUCCAGGAAUGGCCUUCUGUACCCUGGGCUUGCUGUUCAGGGCCCAGUCUGGGGAUUCUGGGAGCCCUGGGCCUGACCUGCUUAAGUUUCUGCUUGUUCUAUUCACCUAUCAUUUACCUCAGGGGGUCCAGGUGUGGCACCAGGUAACCACCAUAGGGCCAGGCUCAGAGCUCCCAGUGGAGCCAAUGAGCUAUGAGGGGAGGCCUACUCGGGCAGGGAGAGUGUGCAUCACAGCCCAGGGCUGCUGAGAAUUUUUGGCUUCCUCAUCACACCUGUGAAUGAUGUGACAGGCAGACACCUUCCUAGAGGGACUGCUGGAUAGCAUGCUCCUAAUGACACCAGCAACAAUGUAGCAGCUACUUCCUGUGAGGUCCAUGCCUGGUGUUUCUGUCCUGGUCAUCAUUCUCAGAAUAGGCCCUGUACCAGGCUCUCAGGUACUUGGUCAUGAGUCUCACUCAGGAAAUGGCUGCUCUACCCUUUUUGUGUGCUGGGCAGUGUGGGCUGUGUGGAGCCUCCAUGUCUGUGGGUGGAGUGACAGACUGGGCUCAGAAUCCUUACGCACUGUGUCUCUCACCUUCCCAGACAAAGCUGCUGGCAGGGUGAGAGUGCAGGCCUCACUUCUGCCUGUGAUUGGUCCUGUAGCCUGGGUUAGUCACUGUUCCUCUCUGGGUCUGAGUUUAUUCUGUGGCAAAAUAAAAAACAGAGGUCAAACCAUUUGAUCAUCAAACCCUUUUGCACAAAGAAAGGCUUAGGGAAGUUCAAGAAAGCCGCGGCCUAUCUGAAUUCCUGGCCUCUUUCUGCCCCCUGGUGGCCACUAGUAGACUAGCACCCAGGGGUGAUGACAACAGAACACUGGAAUUGGCUCUUCUGAGGUCUGGGGGACUCACUGUGGUCUCUGUCAAGGCUGCCUCCCCUCUGUUAGAAGAUAGUUCUAAUAGUACCAACGCCAUCAGAAUGCGCUGAGAACUAGGUGUUAGAGCACUAUAAAAUAUAAUGAAUCAUGACUUGGAAACUGCCCUUGGUCCCCUACUGUCAUCACCUCUGCUUUUCCUGGAUCCAACACCCAAGAAGCCACUCAGCCCAGAUGGCUGAUGGCUGUCUUACAACCUUUCCACCAAGGUCAGCUCUCAUUAUUUCUUUCCUCUGAGUUUCACCACCUUCUCCCCAUCUCCCACUCAUCCUGUAUACCAAUCCUCCUGUACCUAUACCCAGUCCUACAACCUAUUUCCUGAUGCCUCCGCUCUCACACUGCCUAAGCCCUCCAACCUGUCCUCAGGCCCUGACAACCACAACAUCUGCCUUUCUGAACCUUUAAUUCUGUGGGGGGGGUUGGUGGGUGGGGUGUUUGUAAGGAUGCAUGUUUGUGGGGGAGAUAAUGGAAGCCAGAGGACAAGGGCAAUGUUGUUGGGGUGCCAUACUUACCCUUGUUUGUUUGUUCUCUUCCCAGUGUCUCCCAAUUUAUUCUCCUACCCCCAGCUCUGGGAUUACAAGCACACACCACAUCUUGGCUGAUUUUGUUUGGUUUUGUUUUAAGAUUUUAAACUUUAUUUAUUUUUAUUUAAGCUUUCUAAGACAGGGUUUCUCUAUGUAGCCUUGGCUUGUAGAGGGCACAAAGUCUUACAGAUAGCAUUGUGAAACACACAGGCUUUUCUCUUCAACAGAAGAAAUAGACACCAUUCUCCCGGAAGGUUGGAAUGGGUGUUGUUUAACAACCUAGUGAUCUUUUGCUAUUCUGUAGAGUCAGUCCUCACCGGAAUCCCCCUUAUCCUGAGCACUGCCUCUCAGUCAAUAGAACCCAUCCUUGUGGAAGAGCUCACAGGCAUUUUGCAAGAGAUGUGCUUUGCAACGGAGUUUCACUGUAGCCAUGCUGUAAGCUUUGUUGUGACAGUUGUCAUGAGGAAAUGAUGAAGUUUUACUGCACUUUUAAAUAAGUAAAAAAUAAACCACUCCAGGGGGCUGCAGAGAUGGCUCAGCAGUUAAGAGCACUAAGGUUGCUCUUCCAGAGGGCCUGUGGGUUCAGCUCCCAGCACCCACAUAGCAGCUCACAAUUGUCUGUAACUCCAGCUCCAGGGUAUCUGGCACCUUCACAUACAUGCAAGCAAAACACCAAAUGCACAUAAAAAUAAAUCUUAAAAAAAAAAGAAAACUACUCAAGACUCUAGAAGUUUCAACUAGCCUGGUUAUGUCAUGCUGAACUGAGUUUCCUUACAGGGACCCCCACAUUAGCUGUCCUGGGACUUGCUAUGUAGACCAGGCAUGUUGGCCUGGAACCCAUAGAGAUUCUCAAACCUCAGCCUCACAAGUGAUCAUCAUGCUGUGUGAUUAUACAGUUUUUGUUUUUCAUUCCGUUGAUGUGUAUUUUGGGAGUUUUUUUUAAUUUACUAAAUUUUUAUGGAUUAUGUGUGAGCAUAUAGGUGACAUGGCAUACACGUGGGGGUCAGAGGACAGCCUUGUGGAGUCUUUUCUCUUUCUUCCACCUUUACGUGGGCUCUGGGGACUGAACUCAGCUCAUCAGCCCUGUAAGGCAAAUGUCAUACAAAACACACACACACACACACACACACACACACACACACACUCCGCCAGCCAUCUUUCCAGCCCUGUGUUUUGUUGUUGUUCUUAUUUUGUUUUGUUUUUGAGAUGGAGAUCUCAGUGUGUUGCUAAGGCUGGCCUGGAACUAUGCUGUUCAGGCUGGCCUUACACCGAUGGCAGUUCUCCAGCCUCAGCUUCCUGAGUUCUGGAAUUAUAGGGGUGAGCCACUCCCAGCUGAUUUACUGUAUUUAUUGAUUUUCUUUUGUUGGAUCCCUGUGUAUAUACUGUUAGGUUUUGCUUGAGAAAUUUUGCAUCCAUGUUCGUCAAAUAUUGUUAGUUAGUCAAAAUGGGUUUUGUUGUUGUUGUUACUGUUUCUUUGGGGUUGUUUAUUUGUUUGUAGACAGGGUUUCUCUGUGUAUCCCUGGCUGUCCUAGAACUCACAGAGAUCCUCCUGCCUCUGUCUCCUGAGUGCUGGGGUUAAAGGGGUGCACCACCACCGCUUGGCUGUUUCUCUCUCUCUCUCUCUCUCUCUCUCUCUCUCUCUGUGUGUGUGUGUGUGUGUGUGUAAAAACACCUGUUUUCAUGUACGUGUGUGUCUCAAAUGUAGAGGUCAGAGGAUAACCUGCUGGAGUAUAGUAUCCACCAUGUGGCUCCAGGAAGUGCCAUUACCAGCUGAGCCGUAUUGCUGGGCACCUUCUCUGGUUUUGAUAUUCAGGUAACUCAGGCCAGUUCUUGGGAUCAGCGCUAUAAAGAUUUGAUAAAAUUCAGCAUCGACUCUACCCAGACUGAGGGUUUUCUUUGUAGAAAGACUUUUUAUCUCAUUCCUCUUCACUCAUCUUUGCAGGUGUUCUGUUUCCUUGCAGUUUAUGUGCCCAGAAAUCUGCGCAUUUUUUACACUUUGCUGCCACAAAGCUUUUCAGAAUAAACUAAUAAUAAUCACAAUAAUGAUCCUUGAAUCUCCCUUUCUGUUUUUUUUUUUUUUUUUUUUGAGACAAGAUCUCUCUAUCUAGACUUGGAGCUCUCUAUGUAGACCAGGCUGGAUUCCAACUCACAGAAAAACCUGUCUCUACCACUUAAUCUCUUUGAUGAGACAUGUGCCACCACACCUGGCCUGACCACCACACCUGGCUUGACCACCACACCUGGCCUGACCACCACACCUGGCCUGACCACCACACCUGGCCUGACCACCACACCUGGCCUGACCACCACACCUGGUUUUGUUGUUCUUCUGUUUCAGUUGUGCUCACAAUGAAACACAACCACGAGACUCACAAACCCACGAGGAGUUUAUUGGGGAAGGGAACAAAGGGUGUGUGUGUUUGCUUAAAAGGGGAAGCUUGCACUUAUGUACCGAGUCCUGCCUGAAUGCCCCCCAUUGUCAGGCAGUGGGGUCAGCAUAAUGCCUGGGUUCCAACAGGCUUGACCACCACAGCUGGCUUGACCACCACACUUAAUCACCACACCUGGCUUGCAUUUCUGUGGUAUGAAUUAUAAUCUGCCUUUUUUAUCUCAUGUCUUGUUUGUUUGGGUUAUCUCUUUUUCCACAGCCAGCUCAGCAAAGAGUUGGUCAAUUUGCUAAUUUUUUCUCAAUUUUAUUUACUUUCCCUUAUGUGUCUUGCCUGUUUGUAUGUGUGUGCAAUGAGGCAAGGGGACAGUGUUGGAUGCCCUGGAACUGGAAUAACAUAUGUUGUGAGUCUCCAUGUGGGUGCUGGAACCAACCCUGGGUCCUCUGAAAGAGGUGCUCAUCUCUCUAGCCCCCACAAUAGGUGCCCUUAACUGCUAAGCCAUCUCUCCAGCCGCUUGCUUUUCUCUUCAAACCAGUCUUUUGGUGUUUACUUUUUAGUCUCUAUUCAUUUGUUUCUGCUCUGAUCUUUCCUUCCACAGUUUUUGGUGGCUUUUGUUUUUGUUGUUGGUAGUGUUGUGUUUGUUUGUUUGUUAAUGUUUUGUUUUGCUCUCUCUUCCUUGAGUUGUAGCAUUAUUUGUGUCGUUUCAAUGUGAUUGCUAUUGUUGCAGACACCUAUUUCUGUGACCUUCCCUGUUACUACUGCAUUUGCUGUAUCCAGUAGGCCCUUAGACACUAAAAGAUACGGGUCUCUCUCUCCCUCCUUCCCUUUGUAUCCCUGGCUAUCCUGAAACUUACUGUGCAGACCAGGCUGGCCUAGAACUCACAGAGAUCCACAGGCCUUUGCCUCCUGAGUGCUGGGAUUAAAGGCCUGUGCCACCACACCCUGCUUAAAGUCUUUAUAAAAUAUUUCUUUUGAUUACUUUGUUAUGUAGUUUGGUUGUUUGUUUAUUCACCUGGCUACUGGAGGAGAAUGUCAUUGUUGAUUUCUAGUUUCAUUACUGUAGCCAAAGAAGAUAUUUGCUGUACUUUUUCUGUUUUUGAGUGUGUGGACACUCUGUGGCCUCGCGUGGGGUAUAUCCUGAAGGGAGUUCUUGGUGGUGAGGUGCAUUCUGCAGCAGUGGGAUGAAACAAAUGUCUGUGAGGACCACUUCAUUUCCUGUUAGCCAACCUAAGUGUCACCUUCAUUAUUUCAAUCAUUUCCUGGCAAACACCCUGAGCUCCCUGGUCUUCCCACUCCCCAAAGUGUGUACCUACCAAAACUCUAUAUGAACCUGGCUAGCCAUCUCCUUUUGUAGCAGUAUCCUGCUGGCCUGGCGCCGGGAGUGAUAACAACUAGUCCUAACCCCCUGCUAGGUGACAACUGGACUAUCUGGAGAUAAACUUUUGUCCCCCUUUGUGAACUUUGUUUGGGACUUUCCCAAGAAUACAAAGGCCUAUGCAAAACUUGGUUCAGGAAACCCGGAAAACUGUGGUACCUAUGAAUCCAGACUUUGCACUUGGCAUUGUAUUUUUGGAAGCCUCAUUCAAGUUGUUCUGAGCAUAUUGUAAUCAACUGGUUAAAGUGUAAACACUGAGAAAAAUAAAAAUGCCCUGGGUGCAGGGAACGAACUUCAGUCCAUCGAGGCUAGGGUCCCCUGCAGUUGCAGAAAGACCAAAUUCAUUCUUAAAGCGUCUCUGAGUUUUCUUUCCGUGGACCCGCAUGAACCCACACCUGGGCCACGACAUCUGAGAUAUUUGUUGCCCAGUGUGUGGCUUGAAGAAGGACAAAGGAUUGGCUGAAGAACUGGAGGAAAAGCGCACUCGGGGUAAGGGGACUCCAGGACAGGCAUGGGAAAAUUCUCAUCUCUGGAGCAACAGUAUAUGCAGUUAUUAAAAUGCCUGUUAAAAGGAAAUGGAGUGAAAGUGAAGGAAAAACAGCUCACAGAGCUUUUAAUAUUAAUUAAACGGCAUUGCCAUGGGUUUCAGGCAACCCCUCAUGUUCAGUUGAAACUGAAGGCGUGGAAGCAGGUUAUGAGAGCUUUGAGGACAGCUCAUCAGAGAGGAGAGCUCACACAAUUCAACAUUUGGUCUUGGUGUAAUUUACUUUCAAAUGCUCUGGAGCUGUUGCAGAGUGAGGAGUCCUUAAAGCUGUGUGUAAAGCAGAACAGGAAAGUAAAAGGGAAGACACUCAGACAUGGUCAGGCAGCAGAGGAGAAGGUUCCUUCCCAGUCCAUAGGAUAGGAAUGCUGCUUCAGAGGGCAGUGAAAGUGAGGAAAGCCAGGGCCUGGAGAUAGCCUUCCUCCUUCCCAGAUGAAACACAUUUACAAAUUAAAAGGUAGAGGCUGGAGAGAUGGCUCAGCAGUUAAGAGCACUGGCUGCUCUUCCAGAGGACCUGGGUGUCUGUAACUCUGAGAUCUGACACCCUCACAUAGACAUACAUGCAGGCGAAAUACCAAUGCAAAUGAAAUAAAGAUUAUAAAGAAAAAGAAAUUAAAAAGUCUGAAAGGUUAACUGCACAAUUUUAUUUAUUUAUUUAUUUAUUUAUUUAUUUAUUUAUCUUUGGUUUUGGUUUUUUGAGACAGGGUUUCUCUGUGGCUUUGGAGGCUGUCCUGGAACUAGCUCUUGUAGACUGUGCUGGUCUGGAACUCUCAGGGAUAUGCCUGCCUCUACCUCCCAAGUGCUGGGAUUAAAAGUGUGUGCCACCACCAACCUGCCUUAACUGCACAAUUUUUAAAGAUAGAAAUAAAAUGGCUCCUGAGACAAAGAAUAAAAAAGGAAAAAAGAUUUUCCCAGUAAAAAGGGGAAAAAUAUUGAAUCAAGUCUAAAAAUUAAAAGGCCCCAUAAAAGAAAGACAAAGGAAAGAAAAAAGUCUCUUCCUAGUAGGAACAGAGGAAGAAAAAAGGCUCUUUCCUGUAUAAGAAAUUGAGGAUAGCUAAAACUCAGAGCUGUCUCUGGCUGCACCCUGUGUGUCAGCUCUUCCACAAAACUGUCAGUCAGCACAGGGCAGUGCUGUCUGAAUUACACGGAAUCCACAGGCGGCCUCAAUGCUGCAGCCUGAGCCAGGGCAGCAAGCCCAGAGCUUAGAAUUUUGUUUUCUGUUGGCUUAACUUUGGUUAAAAUUUUGUUAUUGUGUGUCCCUCAGAGCAGGAAUAACCCAGUAUUAGGGUCCCUUCAUGGGAAAUGUGUUUUUUUUCUCUCCAGUAAUGGGAAUAACUCAUUAUCAAUGGUCCCUUCACGGGAGGAAGAGGGAGUUUAAAGAAGUCCAGCUUCUGGUAAAGGGCGUUUGUGUCAACUCAACUGCUGUUUGAAUUUCCGGAGAUAUUAAUCAUUUAUUGCAUAGAGCAUGUUCUCUUUUGAUUGUCUAAUUAAUGUUUAGAUAAAUGUUUGAUUUUCCUAGUAAAUGAACUAAAAGAGUAAACUUCAUGAUUUUAAACUAUAUUACUGGAUAUGCUCUUUUUUAAAAAUUUACUUUUAUUUUAUGUGCAUUGGUAUUGUGCUUGCAUGUAUGUCUAUGUGAGGAUGUUGAGUCCCCUGAAACUGGAGUCACAGUUGUGAGCUGUCAUGUGGGUGCUGGGAAUUGAACUCAGGACCUCUGGGGGAACAGUCAGUGCUUUUAACCGCUGAACCAUCUCUCCAGCCCUUGGGUAUGCUCUUGUCUGUUUAUCAUUACUGAAAAUUUGGCUCCGUUCUUUAAAUUGCUUUCUAAAAAUUCAUGAUUAAAUUCUAUAAAAAUGUAAACCUGAUACAGACUGAGUUGUUAGGGUAAUAGAUAACAUGGCAAUUAAGGUAAAAGCUCAUAAAGAAUAAUUUCUUACUGAUUAAGAGCUUACAAAAAUUAUUUUUCCAUUAAAUAAAAUGCAGCCAAAUUAUUUAAUCCACACUGUUAAUAAUUGGCAAGUUGCAUUAAAGUGUUGCUUGGAGCCUAUAAAAAAGGAUCCUCUUGGGCUAGAGUGAUGGCUCAGAGGUUAAGAGCAUUGGCUGUAUACAUAAUAAAUAAAUAAAUCUAAAAAUAAUGCUUUUAAAAAAGGAUCCUCUUUUUAAUAUUUUAUAAAAAUGCUCUGUAUUACCUAAAGUUACCUCUUAAAAUCCUAUAUAAAUUGUCUUAUUGCAUUUAUAUAUGGCUUAUAUAUAAAAGACUAUACAAAUAGAAGCUGGUGAUAGAAUUGCUCAGUUGUUGUUGCUCCCAUAUUUUAAAGGUGUUGUGAUAUAUAAUUUAUGAUUCAUUAAAGCUUGCCUAAGGAUUCAGAAAGCAAAGUGAGUCACAAGCCAUAGAAGCCAGGCAUAUACCUUUAAUCCCAGCAGCCAGAAGCUAGGAGGUGGUGGUAGACACCUUUAAUCCUGAAACUCAGGAUUAAGAGGUAGAUGGAUCUCUCUGAGUUCAAGGCCACCUAGGGAUGCAUGAGAUUGAGCCACUCUAAAAGAGAAAUAGAUCACAUGCCUUUAAUCUCAGCACUAGAAGGGUAUAAAAGAUAGAAGCAGGGUCUUCAAUAUUCAGUGUGAGGCAUUCAUUUUCCAGCCACACUGAGGAGAGAUUACUGUUUGAGGCUUGUUGAGAGCUCGUGGAGACAGGAUCAGCCCAUUCAGCCUGAGGUAGAGAUAAGAAGCCAGUGGCCAGCUGCUUUGCUUUUCUGAUAUUAACCUGAAGUUUGAACCCCAAUAUCAGUCUCUGGGUCUUUUAUUAAUUCGUGUUACAGGCUCUGUUUGCUAGAGGCAAGCAGAAGCUCAGUUCCUUUAAGAGAGGCUUCCUGACUCAGCGUUAGUGGCAAAAACAGCCAGGCUCCUUUAAGAGGGCCUGCUACCGAACACAUACAUGGAGCUUAUGAACAGCCAGAAGCAUGCUUCUUGGUGGUGACAUGGACCAAGAAACUCUACAGAGUUCUGGCAAUAAACUUGUUUCCCACAAGCACCUCUGCUAUGAAGCUAGGCUCUCAGGAAGCCAAGGAAUAGAGCAGAACCAGCCACCACUUUAAUACUACAUUGCUUAGCAGAGUAAAGAAAGACUCAUGGUCAGAAAAAGAAAGAGAUACACAGUAAAGACUGAUUCAGAGGAACAAAGCCUCUAAACUGGAUAUGGUGUGUUUAAAAACAUAUGUAGGCUUGGGAGAGAAAAGAAAAAGGAUAGAAAAAUUCCUUAAAAGAAAUAGAGUAGCUGGGUGUGGUGGCACAUGCCUUUAAUCCUAGCACUCUGCAGGCAGAGGCAGCUGUAUCUCUAUGAUUUCAAGGCCAGCCUGGCAUACAGAGAGAGUUCUGGGACAGCCAAAAAUACACAAAGAAACCCUGUCUCAAAAAAAAACAAAUAGGGUAAAAAAAAGCCACAUAAAGAUGGAAAAUACACAGAGUAUGGAUACUGUGUGUUAUUGUGCUGUCUUUGAAUUGUUUGACUGCUGAGGAAGGAGCAACAGCUGCUAAUAGACCUUUGAUUAUAAAUGCUGCUGGAUUAAGCCAACCUAUAUAUUUUGAAAAUGCCUUGACUUCAAAAUUCAAGUCUAAGGACAUGUUACUUUGGAAAAGAGGUUCUGCUUUUGUUUCCACAGAAGAUGAAACACAGUGAAUUGCUUCCAGACUAAUAUGGUUUGAUCAAACAAGACCUCCUGAAGCAGUGGUCCAGGUGAUCCAACAUCCAAAACAGCUGAGACCAUGCAGCCUCACAGACCACUACAGCCAGGAUUUGGCCAUGGUUCUGGGUUUUCUCAAGAUCUGCAUGGGAUUGACAGUGCCCACAAUCAGCAGGAAGCAGUUUAGAGAGGACUAUGCCCACAUUCCCAAAUAUUGUGUAUAAAUGUUUAUUUUCAUUUAAACAGGGCUAGUUAUAAAUGGUUAAUGAUCAUAGUUAAUUUCUUUCCAAAGGAAAAAAAGGGAAUAUGAUAUAGAAAUGAAUACUUUGCAUUGGUAUGGAUUUUGGUUCAUUGAUACAAAUUUAAGGUCAAUUUGUUAUAUGUAUAUUUCUACUCUUGUUUAGGUAUUGUGCUUAUAUAGAACUCUUUUGAAAAUAUGUAUGAUUAAAUACAGAUUACAGAUGGUCACCUAUAAUAGUCAAAACUUAUAUUAGUUAGGUUUUCUAGAUAUACAGAGAUAUAUUUCAAAUAGAUGGGUAUUCUUCAAAACUUUCAAAGACCUACAGAAUAUGGCAUUUAAAAUGGUUUAUUAGAGUUUUUCAUGACAAUGAGACACAACUGCUCCUGGCAAACCCACACAGAUAUACAUGCAGGCAAAACACCAAUGUACAUAAAUAAAAAUAAAGGGAGGAAAGAAAAUAGAAAAGAUGGAAACAGACUUGUUCUUUUAUCUUAGAAAGGGUCUUGUUUUAAUGUCCAGAUUGUUCUGAAACUCACUAUGUAGCCCAGGCUGGUCUCCUGGAAGUCUAAAAUACCUUCAUGUCUCAGCCUCCAGAAUGCUGGGAUUAUGGAUGUAUGUUAUCACACUCAGGUCCCAGCCUCUUUUUUUUCUUUUUCUUUUCUUUUUUUUAAUUUCUAGGAAUAGGCUUGCUAAAUUAUUCAGGUUAGCCUUGAACUUGUGAUCAUCCUGGCUCAGUCUCCAGAGUGACCAGAACUAAGGUCUUCACUGUUUCCAUCUUUUCUAUUUUCUUUCCUCCCUUUAAAUCUUUUGUUAAAAUAAAACCGAGGGCUGGGGGUGUGGCUCAAGGGCAGAGUGGCCAUUCAGCACCCUGAGUUUGAUUCCCCAGGACCUCACAAACCAACCAAAACUAAGAUACAAAUGCCACGGGUGUUGUGGUAUGCCAUCUCUAUCUCUGUCCCACAGAAACAUCUUCUGGGGCAUGAGUACACAGGGCACUGUUACCUCCUGUAAUAAAGCCUUCUAGAACCUUCUGAGCACCUGCCUGAGGCUCUUCCAGAGCAAGUGUCACUCUUCAUAAAUGCCCCCAUGUAGUUUUCUUGGCUGCUUUUCUGUCAUAGGUUUGCUGUGAGUGGAGGCUAUGCUGUGGGCAUGCCUCCCUAUUGAUGAAAACCUUUCCAGCUUGAUCAGCUUGACGACUGGAUUUCCUGAGGUCUGUAAAGCCUUCUCUGCCCUCCUCUGCGUUUUUGUGGGGUUAUUCUUUUUUUCUUCUGUGUUUUCAUUUUCUCUCACCUCUCCAGCCCAUGCGCUUUUCUUCCAGUUACACUAUAGUCUUUGGGGGACCAUGGUGGGUCUGGAAGUCUGCCACCACAGGGUGGGUCACACAGCAUGUCACAGACUGAGGCAGUUUCAUUUAGCACACAGCUGUACCCCCUUUCACUGCUGAAUUUAUCAAAACCUAUACAUUGUGUGGCUGCCUGGCAAGUGAUACCCUUGCAGGUAUUAAUACCUUCGACCAAUUCUCCCAAUGAUUUUCAAGUCACAUGUUGUUUUUGUAAGUUGUCAUAUUAUUUGGGUAAUGCAGUUGUCACUAGCUAAGUGAAACUGUUGUCUGAGUCAUUAUUUAAUAUUUAGCUCUUCUAAUGCCUUCUCCAUUAAAAUAGUCAUCCCUAGGUGACAUGUAUUCUUAACAAGUAGAUAACUGUUUCUAAAAUCAUACUGUACAUCAUUUUGAAACUUUUUAAGAUUUUGCUGGACUAAUAAAUAUGGUGGUAAAAGUUCCUUUUGUUUUGCUUAUUAUCUUUGUUUGUUUGUUUGUUUGAUUGUGUUUGUUUGUUUUGAGACAGGUAUCAUGACCAGGC
rnacentral:lncRNA from 1 species